rnacentral:rRNA from 1 species
AGUAACACGUAAACAACCUGCCUUCAGGAUGGGGACAACAGACGGAAACGACUGCUAAUACCGAAUAAGUUCCAAGAGCCGCAUGGCCCAUGGAAGAAAAGGUGGCCUCUACUUGUAAGCUAUCGCCUGAAGAGGGGUUUGCGUCUGAUUAGCUGGUUGGAGGGGUAACGGCCCACCAAGGCGACGAUCAGUAGCCGGUCUGAGAGGAUGAACGGCCACACUGGAACUGAGACACGGUCCAGACUCCUAAGGGAGGCAGCAUG